AAAAUAAACAAAAAAAAUACCAAAUCAGGGUUCGGCCGUUUCCAACAAUUCGCGUUAACAAUCCCAAACCUCCACCACAUCACAUUCAUCAUCCAACUUGGCUUCCUUCCGCCGCUGCUUUUAAAUUCAACUUCCCUUCACUAUCGAAAUUUGCGCUUUCCAAUUCUAAAUUCCAAUCCCAAUUUUCUCUCUUCUUCAGAUUCUUCUCUCCUGUAACAAUCUUUCCGGAUCUCCUUCCAAUUGCCCUUCUCUCUUCUGGGUUCCUCCGCCACUGCAUUCUUGUGAAACCGAGGAGGCACCUGUUGGUUUUGCUUGUUCAAUUCUUUUUUCCAGUAAAUGGGCUGUGUUCCGUCUAAAGGAAGAAGGCAGUGCCCUGGAUACGAGGAUCCUGUUUUCCUUGCUUCACAAACGACCUUUAGUGUCAGUGAAGUUGAAGCUUUAUUCGAGCUUUUUAAAAGCAUCAGCAGCUCAGUGAUAGAUGAUGGGCUAAUAAACAAGGAAGAAUUUGUGUUGGCUCUUUUCAAGAACAGGAAGAAAGAAAACCUCUUCGCAAGCCGGAUCUUUGAUCUAUUCGAUGUAAAGCAUAAAGGAGUUAUUGAUUUCGGCGACUUUGUACGAGCGCUCCAUAUAUUCCAUCCAAAUACUUCUUUGGAAGAUAAGAUAAAUUUUUCAUUUAGGUUGUAUGACUUAGAUAAUACGGGCUUUAUUGAGCGACAAGAGGUUAAGCAAAUGUUAUUAGCACUUCUUGGUGAAUCUGAAAUGAAGUUGGCUGAUGAGACCAUCGAAGCGAUCCUUGAUAAGAAUCAUGAAAAACUUCUUUGUGUCUUCACAGACGUUUUUGGAAGCUGAUACGAACCAAGAUGGGAAGAUCGACUUGUCAGAAUGGCAAUAUUUUGUUUCCAAGAACCCGUCGUUAUUAAGGAUCAUGACACUCCCUUAUUUAAGGGAUAUAACCACAGCAUUCCCAAGUUUUGUGUUUUAUUCUGAGGUUGAUGAGGCUGCUGCCUGAAAGUACAUAGAAUUGGAAUUGUGAUUAGCUAGAUUAACUUGUAAUGGCAUAUCGUAUUUUUGUUAUUCUUGGAAACCAAACAGUUUGAGGUGAAGAAGAUGAAAUAAGGAGGAAAAAAGGAAAAAAAAAAAAAAAAGUAGGAUUUUAGAUUUUAUUUUUAUUAGAAUAAUUUUUCAUCAGAGCCUUUGGGAGAAGUCCCUGUGUUGGCAUAUAAUAAUGUGUGGCUCAGUUUUGUGUAAAACAUCUUCAUCUCUGUCAUCUAA